rnacentral:lncRNA from 10 species
CCACCACGCCCAACUAAUUUUUUGUAUUUUUAUUAGAAACGGGGUUUCACCAUGUCAGCCAGGCUGGUCUGGAACUCCUGAUCUCAGGUGAUCCGCCUGCCUUGGCCUCCCAAAGUGCUGGGAUUACAGGGGUGAGCCAUCACCCCAGGCCAGCAGUCCCUUUUCACUACAGCCUUGCCAACAUGUAUUUUUUUUUAAUUUUUAAUUAUAGCCAUUCUGAUUGGUGUGAGAUGGUUUCUGAUAUGGUUUGGCUCUGUGUCAUCACCCAAGUCUCAUCUUGUAGCUCCCGUAAUUCCCAUGUGUUGUGGGAGGGACCUGGUGGGAGAUGAUUGAAUCAUGGGGGCGAGUCUCUCCUGUGUUUUUCUCGUGAUAGUGAAUAAGUCUUACGACAUCUGAUGGCUUUAUAAAAGGGAGUUUGCCUGCACAAGCUCUUUGCCUGCCACCAUCUACGUAAGAUGUGACUUGCUCCUCCUUGCCUUCCACCAUGACUGUGAGGCUUCCCCAGCCAUGCAGAGCUGAGGCACAAGAAGAGGUCAUGUGAAUGCACAGCAAGAAGGUAGAUCUGCAAACCAGAAAGAGAGCUCUCACCAGAAGAAGGCCAUGCUAGUAUCCUGAUCUGAGACUUCCAGCCUCCAGAACAGUGAGAAAAACAUUUCAGCUGUUUAAGUCACCCAGUCUAUGAUAUUUUAUUACAACAGUCUGAGCUAACUAAGACACACACUCCAGAUUUGGUUAUCAUAUUUAUUAUAUUUAAUUGAUAAGUUACAUUUCCAUUGUGGCUUGUCAAAAGACUUCACCUUGUUAUUGUAACUAGAGAGUCAUGCAUUGAUCUAAACUUUCAGAUUUCUCAGACAAAAAGAAAAGUCUUCAUUAUUCCUACUAAGAAGAACAAAGCUAAAUCAAACUGAUGAUCUUCUCUACAUUUUGUGAUAGAUUUCUAGCUCUAGUUAGAAACUGAUACCUCAUGCUUUCUUUCUCCAUUCCCACACCUUCGUACCCAGGAGCAACAUUUGUUUGUUUGACAGCAAAAUAUUAACCCUGGAGACCUGUCCUGGCAGAAUUUUAUUUAAUCUUUACUUAGUAACUUAAUCUCCAUAAGACCAACAGUGACAUGAUUUCAUUUGACACCAGUGUCACCUCAGUCUUGAACAGAAAAUGUGCAUAAUGAUUUGUAAUAACUUUAUACUCAUUCAAUUACAUGAUGAAUUUUGACUUUUUCUCCAAGAUCAUUAUAGGCAACAUGUAGCAAUGUAUGGAGAAAAUUACAAUAACAGAGAUAGGUUUUCAUAUCAAGGUCAUUUAAACGCUAGGCAUCCUCUUCGCUUUUGCAUGGAGGGAGAUAACCUAGGCUAGCUUGAACUGGCAAUUUC